rnacentral:rRNA from 1 species
UGGGGAAUAUUGGACAAUGGGCGAAAGCCUGAUCCAACCAUGCCGCGUGUGUGAAGAAGGUCUUCGGAUUGUAAAGCACUUUAAGUUGGGAGGAAGGGCAGUAAGCGAAUACCUUGCUGUUUUGACGUUACAGACAGAAUAAGCACCGGCUAACUCUGUGCCAGCAGCCGCGGUAAUACAGAGGGUGCAAGCGUUAAUCGGAAUUACUGGGCGUAAAGCGCGCGUAGGUGGUUCGUUAAGUUGGAUGUGAAAGCCCCGGGCUCAACCUGGGAACUGCAUCCAAAACUGGCGAGCUAGAGUAGGGCAGAGGGUGGUGGAAUUUCCUGUGUAGCGGUGAAAUGCGUAGAUAUAGGAAGGAACACCAGUGGCGAAGGCGACCACCUGGGCUCAUACUGACACUGAGGUGCGAAAGCGUGGGGAGCAAACAGG